CACAAUAAAGUAACAAACAAAAUAGUAACAAAAGCUUAGAUACAUUAAACAUACUGGCAGCUGCAAGGAAGGAGAUGAGAAUGGGGGAACAUGAUGAAAGAUGGUGAAGGGAUUAACCAAAGGACAUUUAUGUCCAACCCAUGGACAUAGAUAACAAUAUGGAAACUAGCUUGGAUAGGGGAGAGGGUAGGGCUGAGAGAAGGUGAAGAAAGGGAGAAAAAGUGGGAACUGUAACAGCAUAAAUAGUAAAAAAAAAAUACAUGUUUGUACAUGGAAGUGGAGUGGUCUAAUUUGAAUUUUAGCUCCAUUACUUGGACUACAAGGUAGAGAGUGGAUUUAAGGAUAUUGGCAGCGGUAGUAUAGUGAAGAUGAUUAUUAGUGCCCAAUAGAAGCCGGAAGCUGAAUUUGAGAAAUAUGUGAGGGUACUGCUGGCACAAGUAGAUGAUUAAUUAGAUAUACUACAUGAGAGAGAAGGAGAAAUAAAAAAUUGACCCUCAGAGUUCU